UCGGUAAAAGAUAGUUAGGCAAAAGAUAUGCAGUCAUAAGACCUUCUGUAUAGGAGUAAAAUCUAUAUACUGAAAGUUAUGCCAAAUAUGAUUCAUUUAAUAAUGCUGAAUCUAUGAUAGCUUUAAGGGAAACUGGGAUUGGAUACCCCAUUAUUUUUAGCUGUAAAUUUAGUUUAAGCUUACCGGAGUACUACGAAUAAAAAGUUUAAAACUCAAAGGGCUUGGCGGUGUUUUAGACCUCUUAGGGGAACCUGUCUCGUAAUCGACAAUCCACGUUAGACCUAACCUUUUGUAGCGAGUUCAGUUUGUAUACCGUCGUCGUCAGGUAACUUCUUAAAAUAUAGUAGUUAGCUCGAUAAUUAGAUUUAUUAAAACGUCAGAUCAAGGUGCAGCUAAUGAAAAGGUGAGGAUGGGUUACAAUUACACAUUUGUAAUAACGCAAAACACUUGAAAUUUAGUGUCUCAAAGGAGGACUUAAAAGUAAUUUUGAUUAUAUAAACAAAAUGAAUAUGGCUCUGAAACGUG
rnacentral:rRNA from 1 species